rnacentral:lncRNA from 1 species
GAGAUAGAUGGAUUUCUUUAUCGGCUGUAAUUAUUCAUAAACCCAUCGGGGCAUCUUGAAUCUGUGAUGCAUUUAGGCGGGGUUAUUAUAUUAGGAGAGUACUUGACCGUCCUUAAGAGUAAUUUUAGAUCUAUCUAGUCCAUUAUGUGACUAAAUAUCACCAGCUUCAGUGCCAGCCCAUCGGGGCAUCUUGAAUCUGUGAUGCAUUUAGGCGGGGUUAUUAUAUUAGGAGGGUACUUGACCAUCCUUAAGAGUAAUUUUAGAUCUAUCUAGUCCAUUAUGUGACUAAAUAUCACCAGCUUCAGUGCCAGGGGCAUGUGACCGUGCGGGAUCGAUAUUCAUUCUACCCAACAACCACUUGUUCUAAAAUCACUCUUCCUAGAAGAUAGAAAUAAGUUGUAGCCAAGGCUCGCACAUGCCCAUAUAAUGAUGUACAAAGAGAGGAUGCAACUGAAAAUUCUUGCAUUAUACAGCUCAUAAGUAAUGAAGUAAGAUUAUGCAAAUUAAAUUCUAUCCUAAGCAUACUGCUUCCUACUAUCUAACUCUAUGUAAUAUGCGGAC